UACCUGGUUGAUCCUGCCAGUAGUCAUAUGCUUGUCUCAAAGAUUAAGCCAUGCAAGUCUAAGUACGAGCUCUCGUACAGUGAAACUGCGAAUGGCUCAUUAAAUCAGUUAUGGUUCAAAAGAUCGUACAGUUUACUUGGAUAACUGUGGUAAUUCUAGAGCUAAUACAUGCGAGAAGCGCCGACCUCGCGGGAGGCGUGCAUUUAUCAGACCAAAAACCGGCCGCGUCUUCGGGCGCGUUCGCCUUGGUGACUCUGGAUAACUUUGCGGAUCGCACGGUCUAGCACCGGCGACG
rnacentral:ncRNA from 1 species